rnacentral:lncRNA from 1 species
AAUAUUCUGACCACUGGAAACAGUCCCGGACACCCCGUCCACUGCCAUGCAAGCUAUAGGAGGCGCUCUCUAAUGACCUAAGAGGCUCUGCAUCUGGAAACAAUAAGGAAAAAACACUGAGAGACAACCUGUAGUCUCCCAUCAAUGAGGGGUCAUGUGUCAUGGCAUACAAGUGGCAUACAGAAGACAACGUGGGGAAAACA